rnacentral:rRNA from 1 species
UAAUUUGAUAAUCCGCAAAAAACCUUACCACAGCUUGAAUAUUUAUAUUUUUAUUUACAAGCGUUGCACGGCUGUCUUCAGUUAAUGUCGUGAGACUUUGGUUAGAUCCAUUAAAUUAACGUAAGCCCUUACUUUAUUUAUAAAUAAAGUCGUUCCCCACUAUAUUGGAUAUGAUAACAGGGACUAAGACAAGUCAUCAUGGCCUUAAUGCUGU